rnacentral:siRNA from 1 species
UGGCCUAAAUCUGUUAUGAUAC